UUGAAUAAACUUGGUGGGCUGUCGCUGGCUUUGAGAAGCAUUGUGCACGCCUGCUGACUUUAUCCCAUCCACCUGUGCACCUUUUUGUAGUUUUGGGAGGUUGAAAGCAACAAGGGGAUGGCUCUGCGCAAAGCUUGGCUUUCCUGGGUUGCAUUCUCACUUCUCUGACUAUGUGUUUUUGCAUACACUAUGUAGCAUGUUGCAGAAUGUAUCACAAGGGCUUUCACGCCUAUAAAUGACAAUA
rnacentral:misc_RNA from 1 species